rnacentral:rRNA from 1 species
UACGGAGGGAGCUAGCGUUGUUCGGAAUUAUUGGGCGUAAAGAGCUCGUAGGCGGCUUGUCACGUCGGGUGUGAAAGCCCGGGGCUUAACCCCGGGUCUGCAUUCGAUACGGGCUGGCUAGAGUGUGGUAGGGGAGAUCGGAAUUCCUGGUGUAGCGGUGAAAUGCGCAGAUAUCAGGAGGAACACCGGUGGCGAAGGCGGCCGACUGGGCCGACCCUGACGCUGAGGCGCGAAGGCGUGGGGAGCGAACGGG